AGUGGGGGGAUGCUGGCACCGCGGCGUUCCCGAGCCCACCACGCUUCCACGUACCUGGCUCUUCAAUCACUGAUCGUCUCCAGGUAGCUUUCCUCACUGCUGAACUUUUUAAUUUUUUUAAAAUGUUUUCACUUUUUUACUCCUUUCCUCCAAAUAUUUGCUGUAGAGGUUUGUGGGCAGGUCAGCAUUUAUAUAUACAUACAGCUCCUGACAGCCCCACAAGUGGCCCCCGGCCCCUUCUUGCAGGACACAGAACCACGUCCACGUUGGUGCCCCAGGGAACAAAGUUCUGGCUCCGUCACUGCAGGUUUGCAGCCCGGAUCACUGCAGUAAGUGAAAAUGGGGAGGUCUGGGGACAGCACAGAGGCUGCUGCUGGCGGCGGUGCUGUCUGUGGAUUUGCCCAUGUGGGAAUUAAUUGCCUCUCUCCCCAUUGGGCACCGCUGUUUUUUGGCAGAGAGCUCUUCUUUGGGCAGCCUGAUGUGGGUGGCAGCUUUGCCCAUGGCAGGAGGUUGGAAAUAAAUUAUCUUAAGCCCCCCUCCAACCUACGCCAUUCUAUGAUUCUAUGAUAGGUGAGGUUGGCUCCUGCCAGGGGAUGCUCUCUGGGGUAUCGCUGCCAGGACCCUUUAAAGGCAUCGAAGCCACCCCGUGAAGUGGCAUUCCUGAUCCAUCUCCUCUCUCCUGAGUUGAUUUCUAAGCAGUAUAAAUAGGAGACGAGAGGCUGAAAGCGGACAAAGGUGGAUUCAGUGGACUCGGAAUGAUUUGAAUGGAUAAUUACAGGUUCCCAAUCUGCAGUAUUUAUACAGCCUUUCCAGGAAAAAAAAAGAGAAGGGGAAAAAAAACCGAAACAGUUUCCAUGCAGAGUAUGUUCUCCUGGAGGAUUUCUCUGACCUUCAGCACCAUUUUUAUCUGCAGGAUGUAAUUACAGCAAAGCUAGAAAUAGCAAGCAUCUGGAAAGGGCCGCGUACCUGUGCUUGGUGCUCCGUCCCCUCCUGCGUGGGGCAGCAAUGGCUUAGGGGAGGGGAAACUGCUCAGACCCAAAAAGCACUGAGCUGGGACUCGGGAUGCGUGGUCAGGCCAAGCCUGGUGCACAGAACCUGUGUGUAAAACCAGAGCCUGUGCUUCCGGCACCGCUUCACUGCGUCCUGGAGACCACAACCCACUGGGGUCCCAAAGCAGGGGCAGAUGGAGCGGCGAUGUCCUCCUGGGCUGUUUGCUGAUGCUUGGCACACCCGUGAGGAAAAGUCUGGCAACCCCAAGCUGCCUUCUGCUCAGAGCCGAGUGCCAGCCGCUUCCGCGUGCGUUCGCACCAUAUGGAUUUUAGCUCACAUCUUGCUCGCGUGGCUCUCGCUGCUGGGGAGAGCAGGGAAGGCCGGCAGUGAUUUAUUGGUCGCACUCCCUUUGCAAAGCAAGCAGCCGCUUCUGCUGCUGGCAGCUUCAGGGCGCUCUCCCACAAACCCCAAGGUGUGUGUUUAGUGGCAUUCACCCUGCCAGCUCCCCCAGAACCGCAGGCAUGGGGAGCUCUCUGCCCCUUCUGUCCUUAAAUGGGUCUCUGGUCAGUAAGAGCGUUGUGCUGUACCACGUUGGUGCACCUACCAUGCUGAAUUUUGCCAUAAGCUGGUCUAACUUGUCCGUGGCAAAACCAGCUGCAGUCAGCCUUCUGAAGCUCCUUUUUCCUUUAAUGCCUUGCUGCAUACACGAGAACGCACAGUGCUCUCUGAUAUUUAUACUGUAUCAAGAGUUGUCCUGGGUGUUCAAGAAAUGACCAAAAUCUGGAAAUCCUGCUGGUGGAGGUGGACCGACCAAAGAGCCCAUCCUUCAUCUCUGAGGAUGUUUUACAGCCUCAGGAUGUGUAGGUUGUGCUGCUGCUCUCCCCUCUGCUGGCACCACUAUUAGAGCAGUCCUCCUGAAUUUGCUGUGUUGGAAGGAGCCUGGGGGAAGGCACAGGCAGAGUGAUGGACCCAUGUUCAGCUUCUGGCUGAGGUUGCCCAGAGAGGUGGUGGAUGCCCCAUCUCUAGAGACUCCCAAGGUCAGGCUGGAUGGGGCUCUGAGUACCUGAUGGAGCUGUCGGUGUCCUUGUUCAUUGCAGGGGAGUUGGAUUAGAUGGUCUUUGAGGGUCCCUUCCAACUCAGAUGAUUCUAUGAUGACCAGGGUGGGCAGCAGAGCAUUUUCAAGUAUGUUGGUAUUAUACACCUUUAAACCAAAGCUUGAUCUGUUCCCACAAAUGACACCAAAUGAAUCUCAGCCACUCUUCAGAUUAUUUUUCUUGUUGUCUCCACUCUAGAGUUUGUUCUUACAUUGGUGAGCUUGCUUUUCAGUUUUGAUACGUGUUAUUAUUUUGGCUUUUCAGGAUGAGGAGCAUUGGGAUUUGUGACGGCUGGGGAAUGGAGAGCAAGUGAGGAAGGGAAUCAUACCAUAUCAUAGAAUGGUGUAGGUUGGAGGAUACCUUACAGCCCAUCCAGUUCCAACCCUCUGAUGUGGGCUGGUUGUGCCAUACCAGAUCAGGCUGCCUAGAGGCCCAUCCAACAUGACCUUGAAUGCCUGCAGAGAGCAACCACAGCUUCUCUGUGCAGCCUGUUUCUGAAGGCUGAGGCCAAACAGCGUGAGUUGCAGACAUGGAUCCGGCAGGCCAUGGGUCUGGCUGGGCUCAAGGUGGAAGGAGGAGAGGUCCUCCUCACACAUUCAAGAGUUUUCCCAAUAGAAGGUGGAAGUGUUUGGGUCUUCUCACUGCUUUGCUGUGUUAUGAACCUUCACUGAUGUCUUCAUUAGCAGAGCAAUAGUGGAAAUAUGGAGCCGGUUAGGGCCUGGCCACUCUGGGUGCUGUGGAAUUGGCUUUGAUCUUGGCUAUGGGGAGAGAUGGCUGUGUUUUCCAUGGUGUUCUUCCAUGGAGAAGCUUUUCUGCUCCCUCAGCUCUACCUUGAAGAAUCAUAGAAUCAUUAUGGUUGGAAAAGACCUCUAAGAUCAUCUAGUCCAACCAUUCACCUACCACCAAUACUGCCCACUAACCACAUCCCUGAGAAGAGAGAGGAGGGGAACAGGAGGAAAAGACCAAGAGCCCCAGCUGAGGGCUGAGGGCUCGCACUGGCUGGGCUGGCAGCUGUGAGGUGUUAGAGAACUUCCAUGGGGCAGGAGAAGGGACGGCACCAGGCUCUGGUAACUGAGGUGGUGCUGAAGUGACAUGGCCUGUUGGCUGUGAUCAUCUGAGGGUGGAGCACCUUCCUCGGGUAGGGAGAGGUGAUCAUGCUGGUUUUAUUCACCCUGUGUGCUGUGAGCAGGUUAACCUGUAGGAUUAAAUAGUGCAUAAAAGAAACGAAGUGCCGGACCUUGGUAAAUCAAGCUCUUGGCCCUGUGGUUUGGGGGCCUGACUCCAAAGGUCCUUCUGUGCAUGGAAGAGCAGCUCUAUUCAUGGUGUUCCCCAGCUUAGAUGCAGCCUGGGGCAAUAUUAGUCCUUGUUAGUCCAGUCUGCUAAAAUACCACAUCUCCUACCCUUGCCCAUUCUUUUUCUGAAGUCAAGUCAAGACUAUCCAGAGCUCUUUUUGUGACAAAAUGAGCCUCUCUGCUGGUCAGUCAUGGUUUUAUUUAUGUCUUAUUUUCUUUGGUUAGAAAGGAAAAUAUCAGUAAAUGAAAAAGGACUCAAGUUUCCAAUAGCCGUAUCUUUAGUAGUUAAUUUUUUUGAAGCAAUACUUGUAUCCCUACGUGUGCCUCUAACCUUUCCAUGUAUUUGUUCAGCUUUGUCAGGUCUGAGUGUGAAAUAUCUCUGAAGAAGAUAGCUCUGUAAGUGAUGGUGUAAAUGCAUUGUUUGUAUGUAUUCUAAAGUUUAAAUAGAUUGUACAUAUUGGACUGUAAAUGAACUGUAAACAGCAAUCUAUAUUUUCUUGAAUAUAUUAUAUAGCAGUAUAUAUUUGUUAAAUAAGUAUUCUUGUAUACUCUUCAAUAACCUUUUUAAUAUUUUGUACAGAUAAGUUUAUUAAAUAUUUUAUUGAU
ensembl:lncRNA